AGAGUUUGAUCCUGGCUCAGAACGAACGCUGGCGGCAUGCCUAACACAUGCAAGUCGAACGAACUCUUCGGAGUUAGUGGCGCACGGGUGCGUAACGCGUGGGAAUCUGCCCUUGGGUACGGAAUAACUCAGAGAAAUUUGUGCUAAUACCGUAUAAUGUCUUCGGACCAAAGAUUUAUCGCCCAAGGAUGAGCCCGCGUAAGAUUAGCUAGUUGGUGAGGUAAAAGCUCACCAAGGCGACGAUCUUUAGCUGGUCUGAGAGGAUGAUCAGCCACACUGGGACUGAGACACGGCCCAGACUCCUACGGGAGGCAGCAGUGGGGAAUAUUGGACAAUGGGCGAAAGCCUGAUCCAGCAAUGCCGCGUGAGUGAUGAAGGCCUUAGGGUUGUAAAGCUCUUUUACCCGGGAUGAUAAUGACAGCACCGGGAGAAUAAGCUCCGGCUAACUCCGUGCCAGCAGCCGCGGUAAU
rnacentral:rRNA from 1 species